CUCCUCCUUCCAAACUAAACUGCACCAAAGCCUUCUGCCCUGUUAGGGGCUGGGAAGGCCAAAAAGGAACAUGCCUGUUUUCUCCUUCUGAGUUUGGAACUGACUGAGAAAUAAGACCAAGAGACAGACCACUGGAGAUCUAAAUAUCAGCUUUAUUUAUUGAUAAAGCUGACCUGAACAGUGUGGCUUGACCUGCAGCCAAAUGGGUUCCUGAAAUGUCCCUUCUGAUCUUUGCUUACCCUGCAAAGCCGGCGUGGCCACACUCACCACAUGGCAGACCAGAAUGCAACUGUCCUGUGGACAGGCUGACUCUAAAAGGACACACAGAGAGAAAAAGCAGGGGCAGAUUCAUCAGAUGGUUUGCAGGUGGCAGUGGCCGAGGUUUAGUCUCACACAACACAACAAAUGAGAAAGGAGUCUUUAAAAAGAGAAGAAAUCUUACAGUAAAUCAUUCUUUGUUGAUUUGAGUUCCACAAUCUCUGCCAGAAACUCUGGAACUUGAGUACUACCAGAAAGAAACAAAAUGUGGAUAGACCUUGACAAACUGGAGCAGGUUCUGAGGAUCUGACCAUGUUGGUGUGAGUCUGAAGAUGCCAUCACGGGGAGAAUAGGGGGAAAGGAUCACCAUGACUGAAGGAAGCAACAUGUACUUUGAGCAUAAGAAAAAAAAAACGAGAAAAGGCUGGAAUUUAAAAGGAGGAUGGAAUAAGAAUGGGUGAGCUUCCUAGGGGUUUACAUAAUUAAAUGUGUAAGAAGUGGCCCCAGAACACAAGUUACAGUUGCCCUGAAUAAGGACUUUGCCCUACUCAUUUUUGUCUCUCAAGCAAAUAACACUGUGUUUGAU
rnacentral:lncRNA from 1 species